GAGGGUGUAGCUCAAGUGGUAGAGUGCAUGCUUAGCAUGCGUGAGGCCCUGGGUUCAAUCCCCAGUACCUCCU
rnacentral:tRNA from 1 species